CCUACGGGAGGCAGCAGUGUGGAAUCUUGCACAAUGGAGGAAACUCUGAUGCAGCGAUGCCGCGUGAGUGAAGAAGGCCUUUGGGUUGUAAAGCUCUUUCGUCGGGGAAGAAAAUGACUGUACCCGAAUAAGAAGGUCCGGCUAACUUCGUGCCAGCAGCCGCGGUAAUAC
rnacentral:rRNA from 1 species